rnacentral:rRNA from 1 species
GAUGAACGCUGGCGGCGUGCCUAAUACAUGCAAGUCGAGCGAACGGACGAGAAGCUUGCUUCUCUGAUGUUAGCGGCGGACGGGUGAGUAACACGUGGAUAACCUACCUAUAAGACUGGGUUAACUUCGGGCACCCGGACCUAAUCCCGGAUGUUAUUUUUACCCGCAUGGUUCAAAAUUGAAAACCGGUCUUUCUUUCACUUUUCGUUGAAUCCGCGCUGCCUUAGCUAGUUGGUAAGGUAACGGCUUACCAAGGCAACGAUGCAUAGCCGACCUGAGAGGGUGAUCGGCCACACUGGAACUGAGACACGGUCCAGACUCCUACGGGAGGCAGCAGUAGGGAAUCUUCCGCAAUGGGCGAAAGCCUGACGGAGCAACGCCGCGUGAGUGAUGAAGGUCUUCGGAUCGUAAAACUCUGUUAUUAGGGAAGAACAUAUGUGUAAGUAACUGUGCACAUCUUGACGGUACCUAAUCAGAAAGCCACGGCUAACUACGUG